rnacentral:rRNA from 1 species
CGGAGGAAAAGAAACCAACAGGGAUUGCCUCAGUAGCGGCGAGUGAAGCGGCAAGAGCUCAGAUUUGAAAUCUCACCUAGUGUGCGAGUUGUAAAUUGCAGGUUGGAGUCUCGGGUUAGACGUGUGUGCAAGUCCCUUGGAACAGGGUGCCACUGAGGGUGAGAGCCCCGUAUCGUGCAUGUCGACACCUGUGAGGCCCUUCUGACGAGUCGAGUUGUUUGGGAAUGCAGCUCUAAGUGGGUGGUAAAUUCCAUCUAAGGCUAAAUAUUGGCGAGAGACCGAUAGCGAACAAGUACUGUGAAGGAAAGAUGAAAAGCACUUUGAAAAGAGAGUGAAACAGCACGUGAAAUUGUUGAAAGGGAAGGGUAUUGGGCUCGACAUGGGAUUUACGCAUCGUUGCCUCUCGUGGGCGGCGCUCUGGGUUUUUCCUGGGCCAGCAUCGGUUUUCGUUGCAGGAUAAGGACAAUUGGAAUGUGGCUCCUCGGAGUGUUAUAGCCUUUUGUAGAUGCUGCGUAUGGGGACCGAGGGCUGCGGCGGACUCGUUUCGUCUCGGAUGCUGGCACAACGGCGCAAUACCGCCCGUC